GCUUGGCGGGCGUCUCUCUGCCAUGAUGGACCCCGCGAUGCAUACAUAGCUGUGUUUGAAGCUACUGUAGCGACUCCCCUGAAGUGGGGUCCUUCCGGAAUGUGAAGUCUCCACCGGGUGGACCUUCUGAGCCCACCUCCACCCUCAUACUGGCAGGGCGGGCACUGGGCAGGCCUGGGCAGUUCCCAUGCCCUCCGCCUGGCAAAGACACUUGCUUCUUUAUGGAAGCGGAUGCAGAAGGACCGCACAAUCUCUAACUCCAAGCUCUCUGAGCAAUUUCCAGUGGCUUCUAGAGAGAACCUGACACCGCCGGCAUCUGCCUGUCCAGACGCCUGAGUUAUCACCGGCGGAAUAAGCCGACCCAAGGAGAGCCUCCCGCGUCCACCAGCGUUUUGGGAGAAUGCCCGGGACCUGUGCAGGGGAAUCCGAUUCCCCAGCAGCUGCCUUCAAAGGCCGCAGAUACUCUAAAAAAGACAAAGAUGGAAUUGAAACUCCGAGUCACCUUGCCGGGGAGACACAAAGAGUGAGGAGCAGGGGGGAGGUUUGUGGCCCCGAGUCGGCCCUUCACAAUUUGCCUGGAGCAGCCAGCAGGUGCUUGCACCGAGCUGGACGGUGUCCCGGCCCCCGAGGCCGACAUCUCAGUUCACAUCAGAGGUUAGCAAAGCAGUGCUGUUGGAGCACAGAGAUCCUGCCACGACGGUGGCAGCUUGAGUGGAGGGCCUGCGCACCCCCAACACGGCACUGAGCGCUGUGAGAGGUGCGGGAAGCUGAUAAAGCGACCCAGGGAAAGGUCAGCAGGCAGCCGUGCAGAGUCCAGAGCCGUCUGCUCUGCUCCAAAGGGGCUCUCCCCGCCUAGGGUGGAAUUACAACUUUUAGGACAGAAAACGGUUUGACCAUACAUAGACUCUUGCUACCAAAGACCCUCCCAGCGGCCCAUGCCCUCCUCUCACCUGCCAAGCUUAAUCCCCCAUGAAGCUCUGCCUUCCAGGAAGUUUGGACGUCUCUGGGCUGAGUCUCUUCCUGGGACCACUCUGACCUCAUGAUUCUCUUCUUCGGUAAGCCAGCUGUCAGCCCACACCUGGACCGCACUGAAUACUCAUCCUCACCUGGCCACAGCGUCUGACAGAUCACAACAGCUCACACAGCCACUGUCUGUAACCAAGCCUGACCUCCUUAACCUUCAGCGAAAUCCUCUUUCUCAUGCGAAGCAGUGAAAUCAGCCUACUUUGUUGCAACAUGUUUGCAUCAUUUCUGAGGUGUGGUGUCAGUUGUCAUUAGGUGGAAAUGGACAUCUUGGGAAGUCAAAAAAGGAAGAACAUGGGCAGUUUCAAAUGAUUCAACUGAUACAUAUGCAAAAUUCACCAAAAUAGCAGUGAACAUAGGAUUUUAAGUGUUCUUCAAAUACAGCACGCUCGCUAAGCUAUGUUGUUUCAGAUACCACGUCUGAUGGUCCCUUUUCCGGGCCAGACACCAGACUGGGGUGUCAAGUCUCGUGUGGCGGCGGGGGAGCUUCCUGUCUCCAACGACAUGGAGAAAGUUUCUGUCUCUCUCUCUCUUCACUUCUCUUCUCAUCUCAGGAGGAGACACACUUUCCCCAAAGUGAGAUGUCCAUAGAGCCAGCUGAAGUCCGUGGAGAGAGGGGGUGUGUCCGCACCAGCUCCUCCAUUUCAGUUCUUGGGCGGAGGGGCUCCAAACACUGUGCCCGAGGACCGUGAUUGACCAUAAAAGUGUGAAGCGCCUAUUCUGAGCUCCUAGAGCUGCCGGGACAGGCAGCAGAGGGGAGCCAGAGGGACCUGGGUUCGUGCUUUCUUUCCCUUUUAAUGACUUCCUCUGCAGACAGAGCCCCACCGGGAUAGAACUUAGCGAGUUCAGAAUGUUCCAGGACACUUUAUCAGGCUACCCUUGUUCUCAAAGGCCGCUGUGCUCUGUGGGUGACCUCUAGGGCCUCCUCCCACACCUCCGAGCUCCUGCAAGGCGAGGAUAGAGUCUCCUGAGCCCACAGUGCUGGUGGCCGGGGGGGUCUGGGCUAGAUCUUGGACCCCUUGGCAUCCGGGGCUGCACAGCACGUGGUCCCAGGGCGCACAGGUGUUCCCGGGGCCCCUCAAGGUGCCUGAGCUCAGGGUUCGCCUUGAGCACCAGAGAUCUGCGUUUUGCAUUAACACACCUGAAAUGUGUGUCCCCGAUUUACCUUUCAAAUUGUGCCCGUAGCCGAGUCCUGUGGGAGGAUCCCUGGUGCAGACACGGUCCAGCAAGACAGGGCUCCCCGGGGGCCUCGGGGCCAGUGUUUCCCCCCAGGGCGGGUGAGGGCCUGUGUGGCCUGUGGGUAAUGGACGCAAUGGCCCGAGGGAGCUGGCUCCUUCCACCCUCUCGUUGCUCUGCGCCGGUCACAUCCAAGAAAACGUCUUGUUAGUGACAGUCCAUCUCCAGCACCUGUCUGACACUCGCCAGUGUCCCUUUACAAACAAGGAACGCGCAGGUCUAAGGCUCGGGGGCCCUUCUCAGGCAGCAGUACUUGGCUAACGUCAGAGCAGGUCUAAGGCUCGGGGACCCUUCUCAGGCAGCAGUACUUGGCUAACGUCAGAGCAGGUCUAAGGCUCAAGGGCCCUUCUCAGGCAGCAGUACUUGGCUAACGUCAAAUACCACUUUCCCUUGUACCCAUUUUUUAUGGUAACCUCUCUAUGGUAAUGACACAGAUUUACCUUUUUAAAACUAAACUCACUCUUUUAAUAAAAUACAUAAAUUGUUCAGAGGAAGAAAAAGUGUAAAUAAUGGUUUCAAGGAAUAAAAUCCAAAAUGAAGUUUGGAAACCCCAAGUCUGAUCCUGCUUCUGCCAUUGGAAAUGCUUUCACGGCAUCACCGUCAGAAGGUGGGCUAGUUCUGCUCACACACCUCCCGUGAUGGGGAGCUCACUAUCUACAAAAAGCACCUCCAUUCGGCUCUCCUGGGAAACGCUGCUCCCAGCAGUUUCCACACUGAGCCCAGGUCUGCAGGGCAGCUCAGUUCCCUGUCCUCAUGGGGAAAUCUUCGUGGAGCGGGCACCCGUCCACUCCCAGCAGCCUCCUCUCCAGGCAGAACGGCCGACUCCCCCGCAGUCCCUCAUCCUCCUGGAGGGAACUUCUCCAUCCAGGAACAACAGUUGCUGGUUUUUUACUCUUAAAGGGCAGUGCCAGGAGCGGAGACCAGUCUUCUAGGAGUACCUGGACAUCGCCCCAGCUUCCAGGAGUGGAGGCGUGGAGGCGGCCGGGAGCCCUGCAGACAUCACGAGGGACUCCCAGCCCCAGAUGCGAGUGGCAAAAGGCCAGCACUGAGGAAGAGCGUCUCACAAUUAACCGUGAGCGGGACAGCCUCCCAUAAGCCCCAGCGCCUCCUUCUCUAGUUCUGACUCCCCACCCCCGCACAGGAAGAGGCCAGCCUCUUGCAUCUCCUUUGCGGUUCCACGGGCUUUACCAGGCUAAGGUCACACUGGUCAUUGCUCCCUUACCCAACUUAUCUCAGGAUUCAAAUACACACACACACACACACACACACACACACACACACACACACGUUGACCUUUGUAGGCUUCUUUUUAAAAUAAAUUGAU